UCCCAUUUCCUUCGGAAUGUUUUCACAUUGCUCUUACAGUUCGGUUCAUGAGAUGUAAUAUGAUCUAGUACACUGUGUAAAUGGAUUCAUUUGGAAAGUCUCCUUUCAUUCACAGGUCUGAAAAAUGCUUGCUUGCUGCGUUCCAAAGGAGGCCAUUUUAUAAUCAGUAGUUUUUAUAAGAUUUACUUUGCGUGCUUCUCAUGUGAUUAGACACUGGCAAGGUCAGCCCUGGUGUGGGGAACAACUGAGCAUUAGCAAAAUGCUCUUGCUUGAACGCUCACAAGCCUACAAUGAUCUGUUCUUAGCCCUCAGUUAUUACCUUCCCAAGGCAUCCAUUAAGUUUCAAGUAUUUUACCCGAAAGGAGUAAUAAGUUAACAGCCACAAAUGCAUGUCUAAAUGCUACAUGCAAGUUUACUUCUGUCAGUAAAGAGAGCACAGGGUGGGAGGACACCUAAAGCUCCCCAUGACCCAGUGGGGUUGCCUGAGUGGUAAGGAAAGGAAAAAAAGGGGAGAGGAGGGAGAGACAGUGAGAAGAGAGAGAAGCGUGACAGGGAGAGAAAAGGAGAAGCAGGGAAAGAGGGAGGAGGGAGAGAGGGAGAGGGACACAGGGAGAGUCUGGGGAAGGAGGGAGAGAGAGAGAGGAGGGUUCCUAAUAGUAGGUGAGAAACUUAAAAAGACACUAAAUUUCUCUGCUUCCCUACGUGGCCUUAAA
rnacentral:lncRNA from 10 species